rnacentral:lncRNA from 1 species
CCAACACCACCAACAUUUCAGCCUUCCCACCUUCUCCCUUGUUUCAAAGGGCUUCUCAUGUCCCCGUAGCCAGAAACCGAAGCUGCAGAUUUGCUCCUAGUAAGGUGUCGUGCAAUUCUGCGAAUGGUGAUCCAAACUCGGAUUCUACCUCCGACGUUCGAGAAACUUCCUCAGGGAAGUUAGAUAGGAGGAAUGUGCUUCUUGGCAUAGGAGGGCUGUAUGGUGCUGCUGGCGGUCUCGGCGCCACUAAGCCAUUAGCCUUUGGGGCUCCCAUCCAGGCACCGGAUAUAUCCAAGUGUGGUACCGCCACCGUGCCUGAUGGUGUAACGGCCACAAAUUGUUGCCCGCCAGUCACCACAAAGAUUAUAGAUUUCCAGCUACCUUCCUCAGAUUCCCCCAUGCGUACCAGGCCAGCUGCUCACUUGGUCAGCAAAGAGUACUUAGCCAAGUAUAAAAAGGCCAUUGAGCUGCAGAAAGCUCUUCCUGAUGAUGAUCCGCGUAGUUUCAAGCAACAGGCUAAUGUCCAUUGCACCUAUUGCCAAGGGGCUUAUGAUCAGGUUGGGUAUACCGACCUAGAACUCCAGGUUCAUGCUUCAUGGCUUUUCCUCCCUUUCCACCGUUACUAUCUCUACUUCAAUGAGAGAAUUCUUGCAAAGUUGAUCGACGAUCCCACCUUCGCUUUGCCCUAUUGGGCUUGGGAUAACCCUGAUGGCAUGUAUAUGCCGACCAUCUAUGCUAGUUCCCCAUCAUCAAUCUACGACGAGAAGCGCAACGCCAAGCACCUGCCUCCGACUGUGAUCGAUCUCGACUACGAUGGCACCGAACCCACAAUCC